GGGGGAACCGAAGAACCUUACCGCACGGGCGGGGCGGGGGACGGGGGGACGCGAAGAACCUUACUACGGGCCUUGUACACACCGGGCCUUGUACACGCCGGGGUCUUGUACACACCGAGGGAGCCCGCUGAGAGGUGGGUGUGCCCGAAAGGGAGCCUGGACACAGGUGCUGCAUGGCCGUCGUCAGCUCGUGUCGUGAGAUGUUGGGUUAAGUCCCGCAACGAGCGCAACCCUUGUCACUAGUUGCUACGGUAACGGGCACUCUAGUGAGACUGCCGGUGACAAACCGGAGGAAGGUGGGGAUGACGUCAAGUCCUCAUGGCCUUUAUGGGUAGGGCUUCACACGUACUACAAUGGUAGGGACAGAGGGCUGCAAGCCGGCGACGGUAAGCCAAUCCCAGAAACCCUAUCUCAGUCCGGAUUGGAGUCUGCAACUCGACUCCAUGAAGUCGGAAUCGCUAGUAAUCGCGGAUCAGAAAUCCGUGCGCUCUACUCUUGCUGCUGCUAAUUAAUUCAAUAUAUUCAUUCUGUGGGGAUCCCGGGGGGGAAUAAGAAGUCAGGCUGAAACGGGG
rnacentral:rRNA from 1 species